AAACCAACAGGGAUUGCCUUAGUAACGGCGAGUGAAGCGGCAACAGCUCAAAUUUGAAAGCUGGCUCCUUUGGAGUCCGCGUUGUAAUUUGUAGAGGAUGAUUCGGCAAGGGCUCCCGCCUAAGUCUCCUGGAACGGAGCGUCAUAGAGGGUGAGAAUCCCGUAUGCGGUGGGCUGCCUAAGCCAUGUGAAUCUCCUUCGACGAGUCGAGUUGUUUGGGAAUGCAGCUCUAAAUGGGAGGUAAAUUUCUUCUAAAGCUAAAUACCGGCCAGAGACCGAUAGCGCACAAGUAGAGUGAUCGAAAGAUGAAAAGCACUUUGGAAAGAGAGUUAAAAAGUACGUGAAAUUGUUGAAAGGGAAGCGCUUGCAGCCAGACUUGUCCGCAGUUGCUCAGCCGGUCUCCUGACCGGUGUACUCUUCUGCGGCCAGGCCAGCAUCAGUUCGGGCGGUCGGAUAAAGACCUCGGGAAUGUACUCCUCUCGGGGAGUGUUAUAGCCCGGGGUGGAAUGCGGCCAGCCUGGACUGAGAUCUCGCUUCCGCUAGGAUGCUGGCGUAAUGGCUGUAAGCGGC
rnacentral:rRNA from 1 species